rfam:Staphylococcus haemolyticus JCSC1435 DNA, complete genome.
GUAACAGGGGAGAACGAAUUCAAACAAAGGGGUAGAAGCUAUAUAACAGAUAGCUUGUUGUGAAUCGUUCAAGUUACAUCGAAACAUCUUCAAUAUUUAUUACUUACUUUCCUUUCUAUUUGUCGGCUAGCAGAUGACUAGCCGAUUUUUUU